AUUGAACGCUGGCGGCAGGCCUAACACAUGCAAGUCGAGCGGAUGAAGGGAGCUUGCUCCUGGAUUCAGCGGCGGACGGGUGAGUAAUGCCUAGGAAUCUGCCUGGUAGUGGGGGAUAACGUCCGGAAACGGGCGCUAAUACCGCAUACGUCCUGAGGGAGAAAGUGGGGGAUCUUCGGACCUCACGCUAUCAGAUGAGCCUAGGUCGGAUUAGCUAGUUGGUGGGGUAAAGGCCUACCAAGGCGACGAUCCGUAACUGGUCUGAGGGGAUGAUCAGUCACACUGGAACUGAGACACGGUCCAGACUCCUACGGGAGGCAGCAGUGGGGAAUAUUGGACAAUGGGCGAAAGCCUGGUCCAGCCAUGCCGCGUGUGUGAAGAAGGUCUUCGGAUUGUAAAGCACUUUAAGUUGGGAGGAAGGGCAGUAAGUUAAUACCUUGCUGUUUUGACGUUACCAACAGAAUAAGCACCGGCUAACUUCGUG
rnacentral:rRNA from 1 species